rnacentral:rRNA from 1 species
UACGGGGGGGGCAAGCGUUGUUCGGAAUUACUGGGCGUAAAGGGCUCGUAGGCGGCCAACUAAGUCAGACGUGAAAUCCCUCGGCUUAACCGGGGAACUGCGUCUGAUACUGGAUGGCUUGAGAUUGGGAGAGGGAUGCGGAAUUCCAGGUGUAGCGGUGAAAUGCGUAGAGAUCGGGAGGAACACCAGAGGCGAAGGCGGCGACCUGGACAAGUACUGACACUCAACUACGAAAGCGUGGGGAGCAAACAGG